rnacentral:rRNA from 1 species
AUUGAACGCUGGCGGCAGGCCUAACACAUGCAAGUCGAACGGCAGCACGGGGCAACCCUGGUGGCGAGUGGCGAACGGGUGAGUAAUACAUCGGAACGUGCCCAGUCGUGGGGGAUAACGUAGCGAAAGCUACGCUAAUACCGCAUACGAACUCUGGUUGAAAGCGGGGGAUCGCAAGACCUCGCGCGGUUGGAGCGGCCGAUGGCAGAUUAGGUAGUUGGUGGGGUAAAGGCUCACCAAGCCGACGAUCUGUAGCUGGUCUGAGAGGACGACCAGCCACACUGGGACUGAGACACGGCCCAGACUCCUACGGGAGGCAGCAGUGGGGAAUUUUGGACAAUGGGCGCAAGCCUGAUCCAGCCAUUCCGCGUGCAGGAUGAAGGCCCUCGGGUUGUAAACUGCUUUUGUACGGAACGAAACGGUGCGAGCUAAUAAAGGAGGGUCAUGACGGUACCGUAAGAAUAAGCACCGGCUAACUACGUGCCAGCCGCCGCCGUAAGAC